rnacentral:rRNA from 1 species
CGUGUGUGAAGAAGGCCUUCGGGUUGUAAAGUACUUUCAGUCGGGAGGAAGGCGGUGAUGCUAAUAUCUGCAUCGAUUGACGUUACCGACAGAAGAAGCACCGGCUAACUCCGUGCCAGCAGCCGCGGUAAUACGGAGGGUGCGAGCGUUAAUCGGAAUUACUGGGCGUAAAGCGCAUGCAGGUGGUUGUGUUAAGUCAGAUGUGAAAUCCCCGGGGCUUAACCUCGGAAUGGCAUUUGAAACUGGUCGACUAGAGUCCUGUAGAGGGGGGUAGAAUUCCAUGUGUAGCGGUGAAAUGCGUAGAGAUCUGAAGGAAUACCGGUGGCGAAGGCGGCCCCCUGGACAAAUACUGACACUCAGAUGCGAAAGCGUGGGGAGCAAACAGGAUUAGAUACCCUGGUAGUCCACGCCGUAAACGAUGUCUACUUGAAGGUUGUUCCCUUGAGCAGUGGCUUUCGGAGCUAACGCGUUAAAUCGACCGCCUGGGGAGUACGGCCGCAAGAUUAAAACUCAAAUGAAUUGACGGGGGGCCCGCACAAGCGGUGGAGCAUGUGGUUUAAUUCGAUGCAACGCGAAGAACCUUACCUACUCUUGACAUCCAGAGAACUUACCAGAGAUGCUUUGGUGCCUUCGGGAACUCUGAGACAGGUGCUGCAUGGCUGUCGUCAGCUCGUGUUGUGAAAUGUUGGGUUAAGUCCCGCAACGAGCGCAACCCUUAUCCCUUGGUUGCCAGCGAUUAAUGUCGGGGACUCUCCAGGAGAAUGGCCGGGGAAUAACC